rnacentral:rRNA from 1 species
GACAACGCUGGCGGCGNGCCUAACACAUGCAAGUCGAACGGAGUUGUUAUGACAGAUUCUUCGGAUGAUGGAUUGGACAACUUAGUGGCGAACGGGUGAGUAACGCGUGAGCAAUCUGCCUUAAAGAGGGGGACAACAGUUGGAAACGACUGCUAAUACCGCAUAAGCCCACACUACCGCAUGGUAGAGUGAGAAAAGAUUUUAUCGCUUUAAGAUGAGCUCGCGUCUGAUUAGCUAGUUGGUGGGGUAACGGCCUACCAAGGCAACGAUCAGUAGCCGGACUGAGAGGUUGAUCGGCCACAUUGGGACUGAGACACGGCCCAGACUCCUACGGGAGGCAGCAGUGGGGAAUAUUGCACAAUGGGGGAAACCCUGAUGCAGCGACGCCGCGUGAGGGAAGAAGGUAUUCGUAUUGUAAACCUCUGUCUUCGGGGACGAUAAUGACGGUACCCGAGGAGGAAGCACCGGCUAACUACGUG